UACGAAGGGGGCUAGCGUUGUUCGGAAUCACUGGGCGUAAAGCGCACGCAGGCGGAUUGAUAAGUCAGGGGUGAAAUCCCGGAGCUCAACUUCGGAAUUGCCUUUGAUACUGUCUGUCUUGAGUCCGGGAGAGGUGAGUGGAAUUCCUAGUGUAGCGGUGAAAUGCGUAGAUAUUGGGAGGAACACCAGUGGCGAAGGCGGCUCACUGGACCGGUUCUGACGCUGAGGCGCGAAAGCGUGGGGAGCAAACGGG
rnacentral:rRNA from 1 species